rnacentral:rRNA from 1 species
GAUGAACGCUGGCUACAGGCUUAACACAUGCAAGUCGAGGGGAAACGACGGGGAAGCUUGCUUCCCCGGGCGUCCACCGGCGCACGGGUGAGUAACGCGUAUCCAACCUGCCUCUGACCAGGGGAUAACCCGUCAAAAGUCAGACUAAUACCUUAUGCAGUCGUCAGAAGUCAUCUGAUGACGACGAAAGAUUUCAUCGGAGAGAUGGGGAUGAUGCCUCUGAUUAGCUUGUUGGGGGGGGUAACGCCCCAAGGCUACUACGAUCAGGGGUUCUUCUGAGGAAGGUCCCCCCCCUUGGAACAACUGACAACGUCCAAACUCCUACUGCGAGGAGGCAGUGAGGAGAUAUUGUGUCAAUGGGCGGGGAGCCUGAACCACCCAAGUAGCGUGGUGGAUGACGGCCCUAUGGGGUGUAAACUGCCUUUUUUGCGGGGGAUAAAGUGAGGGACGUGUCCUUCUUUGCGGGGUCCCAUGAAUAAGGACCCGCUCAAUUUCUGCCCCAGCCCCGGGGAUACAGAAAGUGCCCGCGCUAUACCGAGAUUUUUUGGGUAAAAGAGCGCAUGGCCUGGAAAUUAAGCGUUGUGAAAAAUGUACACUCUAAUCUCUGACUUGCCGCGAACUGUGUUCCUUUUGAGUGUGCACACGCGCGCGAGAAUUUUCUCGUGGAGCGGUGAAACGUUUAUAUAUGAAGAAAAACCCCUAUUUGCAAAGGAUUUUUGCGGAGCACUACUGUCGCUCUAACUCUCAAAAGUGUGGGUUUCACACAGAUAUAUAAUACCCCAUAGUUUCAAGGGGAAAAUCACAUAGUGUCCCCCCCAACAUAUACUUUAGUUCUAGCCGCUCCCCCCCCUACCUAUCAAAUCGCACCUAUAGGAGACCUAUUACCCGCGCCUCACCGGCGCUUUAUUAC